AGAGUUUGAUCAUGGCUCAGAUUGAACGCUGGCGGCAUGCUUUACACAUGCAAGUCGAACGGUAACGCGGGGGCAACCCUGGCGACGAGUGGCGAACGGGUGAGUAAUACAUCGGAACGUGCCCAGUAGUGGGGGAUAGCUCGGCGAAAGCCGGAUUAAUACCGCAUACGACCUACGGGUGAAAGCGGGGGAUCGCAAGACCUCGCGCUAUUGGAGCGGCCGAUGGCAGAUUAGCUUGUUGGUGGGGUAAAAGCCUACCAAGGCGACGAUCUGUAGCUGGUCUGAGAGGACGACCAGCCACACUGGGACUGAGACACGGCCCAGACUCCUACGGGAGGCAGCAGUGGGGAAUUUUGGACAAUGGGCGCAAGCCUGAUCCCAGCAAUGCCGCGUGUGUGAUGAAGGCCUUCGGGUUGUAAAGCACUUUUGGUGGGAACGAAACGGUCCGGGCUAAUACCCUGGACUAAUGACGGUACCCGCAGAAUAAGCACCGGCUAACUACGUGCCAGCAGCCGCGGUAAUACGUAGGGUGCAAGCGUUAAUCGGAAUUACUGGGCGUAAAGCGUGCGCAGGCGGUUUUGUAAGACCGAUGUGAAAUCCCCGGGCUUAACCUGGGAACUGCAUUGGUGACUGCAAGGCUUGAGUGUGUCAGAGGGAGGUGGAAUUCCGCGUGUAGCAGUGAAAUGCGUAGAUAUGCGGAGGAACACCGAUGGCGAAGGCAGCCUCCUGGGAUAACACUGACGCUCAUGCACGAAAGCGUGGGGAGCAAACAGGAUUAGAUACCCUAGUAGUCC
rnacentral:rRNA from 1 species